UUUCGCCUACGGGGCGCAGCAGUGGGGAAUAUUGCACAAUGGGGGAAACCCUGAUGCAGCGACGCCGCGUGAAGGAAGAAGUAUUUCGGUAUGUAAACUUCUAUCAGCAGGGAAGAAAAUGACGGUACCUGACUAAGAAGCCCCGGCUAACUACGUGCCAGCAGCCGCGGUAAUACGUAGGGGGCAAGCGUUAUCCGGAUUUACUGGGUGUAAAGGGAGCGUAGACGGCAUGGCAAGUCUGAUGUGAACACCCGGGGCUCAACCCCGGGACUGCAUUGGAAACUGUCAGGCUAGAGUGUCGGAGG
rnacentral:rRNA from 1 species